rnacentral:rRNA from 1 species
UGUGUGUUAGUGGAAGCGUCUGGAAAGGCGCGCGAUACAGGGUGACAGCCCCGUACACAAAAAUGCACAUGCUGUGAGCUCGAUGAGUAGGGCGGGACACGUGGUAUCCUGUCUGAAUAUGGGGGGACCAUCCUCCAAGGCUAAAUACUCCUGACUGACCGAUAGUGAACCAGUACCGUGAGGGAAAGGCGAAAAGAACCCCGGCGAGGGGAGUGAAAAAGAACCUGAAACCGUGUACGUACAAGCAGUGGGAGCACGCUUAGGCGUGUGACUGCGUACCUUUUGUAUAAUGGGUCAGCGACUUAUAUUCUGUAGCAAGGUUAACCGAAUAGGGGAGCCGAAGGGAAACCGAGUCUUAACUGGGCGUUAAGUUGCAGGGUAUAGACCCGAAACCCGGUGAUCUAGCCAUGGGCAGGUUGAAGGUUGGGUAACACUAACUGGAGGACCGAACCGACUAAUGUUGAAAAAUUAGCGGAUGACUUGUGGCUGGGGGUGAAAGGCCAAUCAAACCGGGAGAUAGCUGGUUCUCCCCGAAAGCUAUUUAGGUAGCGCCUCGUGAAUUCAUCUCCGGGGGUAGAGCACUGUUUCGGCAAGGGGGUCAUCCCGACUUACCAACCCGAUGCAAACUGCGAAUACCGGAGAAUGUUAUCACGGGAGACACACGGCGGGUGCUAACGUCCGUCGUGAAGAGGGAAACAACCCAGACCGCCAGCUAAGGUCCCAAAGUCAUGGUUAAGUGGGAAACGAUGUGGGAAGGCCCAGACAGCCAGGAUGUUGGCUUAGAAGCAGCCAUCAUUUAAAGAAAGCGUAAUAGCUCACUGGUCGAGUCGGCCUGCGCGGAAGAUGUAACGGGGCUAAACCAUGCACCGAAGCUGCGGCAGCGACACUGUGUGUUGUUGGGUAGGGGAGCGUUCUGUAAGCCUGUGAAGGUGUGCUGUGAGGCAUGCUGGAGGUAUCAGAAGUGCGAAUGCUGACAUAAGUAACGAUAAAGCGGGUGAAAAGCCCGCUCGCCGGAAGACCAAGGGUUCCUGUCCAACGUUAAUCGGGGCAGGGUGAGUCGACCCCUAAGGCGAGGCCGAAAGGCGUAGUCGAUGGGAAACAGGUUAAUAUUCCUGUACUUGGUGUUACUGCGAAGGGGGGACGGAGAAGGCUAUGUUGGCCGGGCGACGGUUGUCCCGGUUUAAGCGUGUAGGCUGGUUUUCCAGGCAAAUCCGGAAAAUCAAGGCUGAGGCGUGAUGACGAGGCACUACGGUGCUGAAGCAACAAAUGCCCUGCUUCCAGGAAAAGCCUCUAAGCAUCAGGUAACAUCAAAUCGUACCCCAAACCGACACAGGUGGUCAGGUAGAGAAUACCAAGGCGCUUGAGAGAACUCGGGUGAAGGAACUAGGCAAAAUGGUGCCGUAACUUCGGGAGAAGGCACGCUGAUAUGUAGGUGAAGUCCCUCGCGGAUGGAGCUGAAAUCAGUCGAAGAUACCAGCUGGCUGCAACUGUUUAUUAAAAACACAGCACUGUGCAAACACGAAAGUGGACGUAUACGGUGUGACGCCUGCCCGGUGCCGGA